GUACCUGAAACCGUUGGUCUACAAACAGUCAAAGCAGACUUGUUCUGCGAUGGCGUGCCUUUUGAAGAAUGAGCCAACGAGUUACGGUGUGUGGCAAGGUUAACCCGAUGAGGGGAAGCCGGAGCGAAAGCGAGUCUGAACAGGGCGUUCAGUCGCAUGCCGUAGACCCGAAGCCGAGUGAGCUAUCCAUGGGCAGUGUGAAGCGGAGGUAAGACUCUGUGGAGGCGCGAACCGACUUCAGUUGAAAAUGGAGCGGAUGACCUGUGGAUAGUGGUGAAAGGCCAAUCAAACUCGGUGAUAGCUGGUUCUCCGCGAAAUGCAUUUAGGUGCAGCGUCGUGCGUUCAACGAUGGGGGUAGAGCACUGAAUGGGCUAGGGGUCCUACAAGACUACCGACCCCAAUCAAACUCCGAAUACCAUCGUUCCAGAGCACGGCAGUGAGACCUCGGGGGAUGAGCUUCGAGGUCGAGAGGGAAACAGCCCAGACCGCCGGCUAAGGUCCCAAAAUCUGAACUAAGUGGUAAACGAUGUGAGAUUGCGAAGACAGCCAGGAGGUUGGCUUGGAAGCAGCCAUCCUUGAAAGAGUGCGUAACAGCUCACUGGUCGAGUGAUCUUGCGCGGACAAUGUAACGGGGCUCAAGUUCAGUACCGAAGCCGCGGAUGCGACUCUUUGAGUCGUGUGGUAGCGGAGCGUCGAGCGUGCAGCGAAGCGGCGGGACAACCCAGCCGUGGAGCGCGUUCGAGUGCGAAUGUUGGCAUGAGUAGCGAAUGAGGGGUGAGAACCCCCUCCGCCGUAUGUCCAAGGGUUCCUGGGCGAGGCCAAUCCUCCCAGGGUGAGUCGGGAGCUAAGGCGAGGCCGAGAGGCGUAGUCGAUGCACAACUGGUUGAUAUUCCAGUACCACCAUGUUCGCGUCCGUCCCAAUACUCUGUUGCUAAGGGGCUGUGUUGACUUCGGUCAACGCGAACCGACCCACAUUGUUGCGGGAAGCUGUAGGGGGACGCAGGAAGGUAGAUGAACCCGGUGAAUGGUAGAACCGGGGUAAGCGUGUAGGAGGAGGACCAGGUAAAAUCCGGGCCUCAUAAACUCUGAGACGUGAUACCGAGCCGCUUCAGGCGAAGUCAUUGAUCCUAUGCUGCCUAGAAAAGCCCAGCAGCGAGUUGACAUGGUGCCCGUACCCCAAACCAACACAGGUGGACAGGUAGAGCAUACCAAGGCGAGUGGGAUAACUAUGGUUAAGGAACUCGGCAAAUUGCCUCCGUAACUUCGGGAGAAGGAGGACCCCAGUAGCGCGAUGAGACUUGCUCUCUGAGCGUGAAGGGGUGGCACAAAAUUGAGGGAAGCGACUGUUUACCAAAAACACAGCAGCGUGCUAAGCCGUAAGGCGCUGUAUACGCUGUGACUCCUGCCCGGUGCUGGAAGGUUACGGGGAUGGGUUAGUCCUUCGGGACGAAGCUCUGAACCUAAGCCCCAGUAAACGGCGGCCGUAACUAUAACGGUCCUAAGGUAGCGAAAUUCCUUGUCGGGUAAGUUCCGACCUGCACGAAUGGAGUAACGACUUCCCUACUGUCUCAACCAUAGACCCAGCGAAAUUGAAGUACGAGUAAAGAUGCUCGUUAGCUGCAGAAGGACGGAAAGACCCCGUGGACCUUUACUAUAACUUGAUGUUGUGUUUUGU
rnacentral:rRNA from 1 species